CCUACGGGAGGCAGCAGUGGGGAAUAUUGCACAAUGGGGGAAACCCUGAUGCAGCGACGCCGCGUGAGUGAAGAAGUAUUUCGGUACGUAAAGCUCUAUCAGCAGGGAAGAAAAUUACGGUACCUGACUAAUAAUCCCCGGCUAACUACGUGCCAGCAGCCGCGGUUCUACGUAGGGGGCAAGCGUUAUCCGGAUUUACUGGGUGUAAAGGGAGCGUAGACGGCAGCGCAAGUCUGGAGUGAAAUCCCAUGGCUUAACCAUGGAACUGCUUUGGAAACUGUGCAGCUAGAGUGCAGGAGAGGUAAGCGGAAUUCGUAGUGUAGCGGUGAAAUGCGUAGAUAUUAGGAGGAACACCAGUGGCGAAGGCGGCUUACUGGACUGUAACUGACGUUGAGGCUCGAAAGCGUGGGGAGCAAACAGGAUUAGAUACCCUGGUAGUC
rnacentral:rRNA from 1 species